UGAGGUAACUACUGGCCACACUGUGCCUGC
rnacentral:piRNA from 1 species